rnacentral:rRNA from 1 species
AUUGAACGCUGGCGGCAUGCCUUACACAUGCAAGUCGAACGGCAGCACGGGUGCUUGCACCUGGUGGCGAGUGGCGAACGGGUGAGUAAUACAUCGGAACGUACCUUAUCGUGGGGGAUAACGCAGCGAAAGCUGUGCUAAUACCGCAUACGCCCUGAGGGGGAAAGCGGGGGAUCGAAAGACCUCGCGCGAUUAGAGCGGCCGAUGCCUGAUUAGCUUGUUGGUGGGGUAAAAGCCCACCAAGGCGACGAUCAGUAGCUGGUCUGAGAGGACGAUCAGCCACACUGGGACUGAGACACGGCCCAGACUCCUACGGGAGGCAGCAGUGGGGAAUUUUGGACAAUGGGGGCAACCCUGAUCCAGCAAUGCCGCGUGAGUGAAGAAGGCCUUCGGGUUGUAAAGCUCUUUUGUCAGGGAAGAAACACCGGCUCUAACACAGUCCGGGAAUGACGGUACCUGAAGAAUAAGCACCGGCUAACUACGUGCCAGCAGCCGCCGCCGUAA